GAUGAACGCUGGCGGCGUGCCUAAUACAUGCAAGUCGAGCGAACAGAUGAGGAGCUUGCUCCUCUGACGUUAGCGGCGGACGGGUGAGUAACACGUGGAUAACCUACCUAUAAGACUGGGAUAACUUCGGGAAACCGGAGCUAAUACUGGAUAAUAUAUUGAACCGCAUGGUUCAAUAGUGAAAGACGGUUUUGCUGUCACUUAUAGAUGGAUCCGCGCCGCAUUAGCUAGUUGGUAAGGUAACGGCUUACCAAGGCAACGAUGCGUAGCCGACCUGAGAGGGUGAUCGGCCACACUGGAACUGAGACACGGUCCAGACUCCUACGGGAGGCAGCAGUAGGGAAUCUUCCGCAAUGGGCGAAAGCCUGACGGAGCAACGCCGCGUGAGUGAUGAAGGUCUUCGGAUCGUAAAACUCUGUUAUUAGGGAAGAACAAAUGUGUAAGUAACUAUGCACGUCUUGACGGUACCUAAUCAGAAAGCCACGGCUAAUUACGUG
rnacentral:rRNA from 1 species